GACGAACGCUGGCGGCGUGCCUAAUACAUGCAAGUCGAGCGCUGAAGGUUGGUACUUGUACCAACUGGAUGAGCAGCGAACGGGUGAGUAACGCGUGGGGAAUCUGCCUUUGAGCGGGGGACAACAUUUGGAAACGAAUGCUAAUACCGCAUAAAAACUUUAAACACAAGCUUUAAGUUUGAAAGAUGCAAUUGCAUCACUCAAAGAUGAUCCCGCGUUGUAUUAGCUAGUUGGUGAGGUAAAGGCUCACCAAGGCGAUGAUACAUAGCCGACCUGAGAGGGUGAUCGGCCACAUUGGGGCUGAGACACGGCCCAAACGCCUACGGGAGGCAGCAGUAGGGAAUCUUCGGCAAUGGACGAAAGUCUGACCGAGCAACGCCGCGGGAGUGAAGAAGGGUUUCGGAUCGUAAAACUCUGUUGGUAGAGAAGAACGUUGGUGAGAGUGGAAAGCUCAUCAAGUGACGGUAACUACCCAGAAAGGGACGGCUAACUACGUG
rnacentral:rRNA from 1 species